GUCCGCACCGUAAACGAUGAAUGCUCGUUCUGGGCGAUAUACUGUCCGGGACUUAGGGAAACCAUUAAGCAUUCCACCUGGGGAGUACGCCGGCAACGGUGAAACUCAAAGGAAUUGACGGGGCCCGCACAAGCGGAGGAACAUGUGGUUUAAUUCGAUGAUACGCGAGGAACCUUACCCGGGCUUGAACUGCGACUGACCGGCAUAGAGAUAUGCUUUCCCUUCGGGGCAGUUGUGGAGGUGCUGCAUGGUUGUCGU
rnacentral:rRNA from 1 species